AAAUGCCAUUGAUACUGCAGUUCUUGAGUUCGGCUGAGGUAGGCGGAAUGAGUAAUGUAGCGGUGAAAUGCUUAGAUAUUACUCAGAACACCGAUUGCGUAGGCAGCUUACCAAACCGACACUGACGCUGAGGCACGAAAGCGUGGGGAGCGAACAGGAUUAGAUACCCUGGUAGUCCACGCCGUAAACUUUGAUUACUCGUUGUUGGCAAUACACCGUCAGCGACUGAGCGAAAGCAUUAAGUAAUCCACCUGGGGAGUACGUCAGCAAUGAUGAAACUCAAAGGAAUUGACGGGGGCCCGCACAAGCGGAGGAACAUGUGGUUUAAUUCGAUGAUACGCGAGGAACCUUACCUGGGCUUAAAUGUAGAGUGCAU
rnacentral:rRNA from 1 species